CAAAUUUUUACCCCUUUGGUCUUGUACAAACACUUGAGAAAUAUCUCAGGGUGAUAGAAUGAUAAAAUGAUCGCUGGAGCUCAAUCUUAGAAGGGGAACAAUAUAUCUCAUCAUCGCUGCAACUACACCAGAGAAAUCUUUUCUUUUUCUUUGUAAACCCUUUUCUCUCUACUAUCUUCAACUAACCCUAAUCCCCAAAACCCUUAAAUUCAAUUUUGAACAAUCCUAAAUUCAUCUCUCUCGUUUCACUUUACGAUUUGCAGUAGCAAUUUUAAGGCAUUUGAUGAAGGAAACGGACUCGAAGUUGGGUGGAGCCAAGUUCGGAUUGAUGAGGUAUUACAAUCACUGGGCAAACUAGUGAGGCUGUAUUCAGAAGUGCAUCUAUUGAGGUCGUUGAAGCACAAUAACAUUGUAAGGUUCUACAAUUCCUGGAUUGAUGACAAACACAAGAAUGUUAACAAGAUAGUUAUUCACCUCAGGGAGCCUCAAACAGUGUGUUCAUUAUCCUUUGUAUAUGUGUUUAAUUUGUUUUUCUGUUUUAUUGUGAUAUUAGUCCUUUUGUUAGUUGGUUUGAUGCAUGAUUUAGGUACUGUAAGAAACACAAGAAGGUCGACAUGAGAGUAUUUGUUAAAUAUCGGACUCAGGUGUGAUUUAUUUGAAGUAUUUGUUAAAUAUCGGACAAUAUCUUGUAUUUUAAUUUGAUUUUUUAGAGUGAUUUAAAGCCUUUCAGACUUGACGAAAAACUAUGAUAUCUUAGCAGUACAGGGUCAUCUGGUUCAGUAAACUAGUUUCUAUUUACCUUUUAAGAUGGAAGUUAAAUUAGUGGAAUAUUAUUACACUUGCA